rnacentral:rRNA from 1 species
GACGAACGCUGGCGGCGUGCCUGACACAUGCAAGUCGGACGGUUCUUGUACCUUCAAGCUUGCUUGUUGGUGCAAGGAUAGUGGCGGACGGGUGAGUAACGCGUGAACAUCUACCCAUUGGAGGGGGACAACCCGUCGAAAGGCGGGCUAAUACCGCGUAAGCCGCGAGGUGAGAGGCUGCCUAUUGGUGGCCGCCGAUGGAUGGGUUCGCGUCCUAUCAGCUGGUUGGUGGGGUAACGGCCUACCAAGGCGAAGACGGGUAGCCGGUCUGAGAGGAUGAUCAGCCACACUGGGACUGAGACACGGCCCAGACUCCUACGGGAGGCAGCAGUGGGGAAUUUUGGACAAUGGACGCAAGUCUGAUCCAGCCAUGCCGCGUGCGGGAAGAAGGCCUUCGGGUUGUAAACCGCUUUUGUCAGGGAAGAAACGAGUUUCUCUAAUACAGAGACUUAAUGACGGUACCUGAAGAAUAAGCACCGGCUAACUACGUG